rnacentral:rRNA from 1 species
UGGGGAAUAUUGCGCAAUGGGGGCAACCCUGACGCAGCCAUGCCGCGUGAAUGAAGAAGGCCUUCGGGUUGUAAAGUUCUUUCGGUAGCGAGGAAGGCAUUUAGUUUAAUAGACUAGGUGAUUGACGUUAACUACAGAAGAAGCACCGGCUAACUCCGUGCCAGCAGCCGCGGUAAUACGGAGGGUGCGAGCGUUAAUCGGAAUAACUGGGCGUAAAGGGCACGCAGGCGGUGACUUAAGUGAGGUGUGAAAGCCCCGGGCUUAACCUGGGAAUUGCAUUUCAUACUGGGUCGCUAGAGUACUUUAGGGAGGGGUAGAAUUCCACGUGUAGCGGUGAAAUGCGUAGAGAUGUGGAGGAAUACCGAAGGCGAAGGCAGCCCCUUGGGAAUGUACUGACGCUCAUGUGCGAAAGCGUGGGGAGCAAACAGGAUUAGAUACCCUGGUAGUCCACGCUGUAAACGAUGUCGAUUUGGGGGUUGAACUUUAGGUUUGGCGCCCGUAGCUNACGUGAUAAAUCGACCGCCUGGGGAGUACGGCCGCAAGGUU